rnacentral:rRNA from 1 species
GUUGUCCGGAUUUAUUGGGCGUAAAGAGCUCGUAGGCGGCUUGUCGCGUCGAAUGUGAAAACUCGGGGCCUCAACUCCGAGCUUGCAUUCGAUACGGGCAGGCUAGAGUUCGGUAGGGGAGACUGGAAUUCCUGGUGUAGCGGUGAAAUGCGCAGAUAUCAGGAGGAACACCGGUGGCGAAGGCGGGUCUCUGGGCCGAUACUGACGCUGAGGAGCGAAAGCGUGGGGAGCGAACAGG